CUUUAAUGGAGAGUUUGAUCCUGGCUCAGGACGAACGCUGGCGGCGUGCCUAAUACAUGCAAGUCGAAUGACAGGUGUCAGAU
rnacentral:rRNA from 1 species